CAGAAUCUCAGUGAAAAUUAGAGAAAUGCUGCCAGUUAAAUAAGGUUUGUCAGAUAAUUAAGGAAAUCAGCACCAGGUGUCAGAUUAACACCAAUAACUGGGAG